rnacentral:rRNA from 1 species
AGAGUUUGAUCCUGGCUCAGGAUGAACGCUGGCGGCGUGCCUAAUACAUGCAAGUCGAACGAAUCUUCUUCGGAAGAUGAGUGGCGAACGGGUGAGUAAUACAUAGGUAACCUGCCCCUGUGCGGGGGAUAACAGGAGGAAACUCCUGCUAAUACCGCAUAGCCAUGAGCACCGCAUGGAGCUCAUGCCAAAUAUCCUUUCGGGGAUAGCGCAGGGAUGGACCUAUGGCGCAUUAGCUUGUUGGCGGGGCAACGGCCCACCAAGGCAACGAUGCGUAGCCGGCCUGAGAGGGCGGACGGCCACAUUGGGACUGAGACACGGCCCAGACUCCUACGGGAGGCAGCAGUAGGGAAUUUUCGGCAAUGGGGGAAACCCUGACCGAGCAACGCCGCGUGAGCGAAGAAGGCCUUCGGGUCGUAAAGCUCUGUUGUAAAGGAAGAACGGCGCAUACAGGAAAUGGUAUGCGAGUGACGGUACUUUACCAGAAAGCCACGGCUAACUACGUGCCAGCAGCCGCGGUAAUACGUAGGUGGCGAGCGUUAUCCGGAAUCAUUGGGCGUAAAGAGGGAGCAGGCGGCCGCAAGGGUCUGUGGUGAAAGACCGAAGCUAAACUUCGGUAAGCCAUGGAAACCGGGUGGCUAGAGUGCGGAAGAGGAUCGUGGAAUUCCAUGUGUAGCGGUGAAAUGCGUAGAUAUAUGGAGGAACACCAGUGGCGAAGGCGACGGUCUGGGCCGCAACUGACGCUCAUUCCCGAAAGCGUGGGGAGCAAAUAGGAUUAGAUACCCUAGUAGUCCACGCCGUAAACG